AAGUCGUAACAAGGUUUCCGUAGGUGAACCUGCGGAAGGAUCAUUACCGAAAUAAAACUUUCAAGUUUUAAAAAUAUACGGACAAAUUUAAAUUUGGGUUGCUAUAGAUUUUUACGUAUGUAAAAAGUCUUGAAGCGAAUUAUUACUGCAAGUAUUAAAGAGUUGUCUGUAGUCUCAGCCAAGAAGGUUGAGAUAAAACCGCCCAAAAAUUUAUUCACUGCUUAAUCCUAAAAUUAUUCUGGAUGCAGCAGGUUUUUCUAUAUAUAUAAAUUUAUUCAAUAUAAAACAAAAUUAAAAUUACAACUAUAAACAGUGGAUCACUCGGCUC
rnacentral:misc_RNA from 1 species